UACGUAGGGGGCUAGCGUUGUCCGGAAUCAUUGGGCGUAAAGCGCGCGUAGGCGGCCAGAUAAGUCCGGUGUGAAAGUCAAAGGCUCAACCUUUGAAUGCCGCUGGAAACUGUCUGGCUUGAGUCCGGGAGGGGCGAGUGGAAUUCCUGGUGUAGCGGUGAAAUGCGCAGAUAUCGGGAGGAACACCUAUGGCGAAGGCAGCUCGCUGGGACGUUACUGACGCUGAGACGCGAAAGCGUGGGGAGCAAACAGG
rnacentral:rRNA from 1 species